AAAGUCGUAACAAGGUUUCCGUAGGUAUGUGAAACUCUGAGCUCCAGCUUCGUAAUGCUUUAUACUAAUUCUUAAUAGGUGAACCUGCGGAAGGAUCAUUACCGAGUUCUCCUGCUCUGCAGGAACUCCCACACGUGGAUCCUCCAAAAAGGGUUCUUCGGCGAGACGCUGGAAACGGCCAUCGGCAUCGGGCAUAACGUCCGAUGGCGAUGUGAUCUCGCCGGAGUUCAUACUCUGCAUAUUGUACUGUCAGUAAACACAAGCAAUAAAUAAAAACUUUCAACAACGGAUCUCUUGGUUUUG
rnacentral:misc_RNA from 1 species